rnacentral:misc_RNA from 1 species
GGUGAACGAGAGAAAACACAAACCAGAGUCAAAACAGCCAUAGAGAUGGACGGAGAUCUGCCGCCGGCACCGGCUCCGUUGUCCAUCCACCCGGCCGUAGCACCGCUAUCAUUCUUACUCGGAACAUGGAGAGGCAGAGGCGACGGGGGAUUCCCCACCAUUAAUUCCUUCUCUUACGGCGAGGAGCUUCACUUCUCCCAUUCCGGCAAGCCGGUGAUUUCCUACACUCAAAAGACUUG